GUCUCAUUCAGUCCUGUGAAAUGCCUGCUGCAGGGCUUCCAAAGAAAGUACUCUCUAGAAUGAGUGUUUUGCCUUCCUGAGAACCUUACUGUGCUUUAUCAAAUGAUAGUUAGAUUUCAUAUUGUUUUAAAAUAAUUUUAUAAAAAUUUACUGGCUCAAGGGCUGGCAAAUAAGAGGAUUAUGGAAAAUAGGAAAAGAAUUGCUUGUUUCACCUGAUUGCCAUGAAGUUAAAUAAACUGAAGGCAUACUAUGAAGCACCUGGAAUACAGACUCAAGGUUUUCAGCUUGAGCCCAUUAACAAUAAGACCGUGUGAAGGAUCAAAACUUGCUCUGGGGCAGCAGUUUGGAUACAAAUUACCUUAUUUCAGUAAAGAACACAACUAAUGAAAGUAACCCAGCUAAAAGAAUGCACUUCGAUUUACAAUUCAAGACCAGACUCGAUCAUUUUUCCAGCACAGACCUUGAUGCCACUUUUUGGAAGCCUGCUGUGUGAACAUUUCAGAGCCCAGGAGACAGCUGUGAGCACGGAUCCACUGUCACCUAUGGAGUCACCUGCUGAGCUUUAUCCCAAAAUAAAACAUCCUACUAGGGAGCAUCAUCACCGAUGUGUAGGCAGCACUUGCCUGAUUGCUUUUCACUAUUUCUAGUGUUUUGUUAUCAUUUUCAUUUGGGAGAGUGCUUGGAGCAGUUCCGGUGGUACAGGAGGAGGCGCAGGAGCGAGACCAUCCCUCCAGAGUAAUCCCUGCUGCUUGCUGAAUAGAUACCUGAAGGCAACAUCACUUGGCUAUUUCUGGCCUGCAGUAGAUUGCUACUUGCAAACCUUUUUAUGCUGUUAUUCAUCUCCUGAGCCAUCUGGCCCCUGUUGCAGGAUACCUGCAGAUGGAUUAAUAGACCAAUCUAAUAGAGCUGUACAUAUUAAAUAUACAGCAGAAGCAGCUGUUGGGUGUUUGUUGUGAGCUUUCUAUUUUUCCCUGAUGUUUCAGCCACUGUAAUUUAAAGUUCUAAGUCAGUUCUUCAAGGAAAGGAACUGUUUUUACCUCAACUAUCCAAAAACCAAAAUAAAUUUAUCUCUCAUAAAAGAAGCCUGUCA
rnacentral:lncRNA from 1 species